rnacentral:rRNA from 1 species
GAGGUAGAAAGGCCAUCUGGAGAAAAUGGGAAAAGAAAGUCACCGUGGGAGGAUGGAUGGGUCACCUGACCAUAAUCCACAUCUUUUCACCCCGAGGUAGAAAGGCCAUCUGGAGAAAAUGGGAAAAGAAAGUCACCGUGGGAGGAUGGAUGGGUCACCUGACCAUAAUCCACAUCUUUUCACCCC